GACGAACGCUGGCGGCGUGCUUAACACAUGCAAGUCGAACGGAAAGGCCCUGCUUUUGUGGGGUGCUCGAGUGGCGAACGGGUGAGUAACACGUGAGUAACCUGCCCUUGACUUUGGGAUAACUUCAGGAAACUGGGGCUAAUACCGGAUAGGAGCUCCUGCUGCAUGGUGGGGGUUGGAAAGUUUCGGCGGUUGGGGAUGGACUCGCGGCUUAUCAGCUUGUUGGUGGGGUAGUGGCUUACCAAGGCUUUGACGGGUAGCCGGCCUGAGAGGGUGACCGGCCACAUUGGGACUGAGAUACGGCCCAGACUGCUACGGGAGGCAGCAGGGGGGAAUAUUGCACAAUGGGCGGAAGCCUGUUGCAGCAACGCCGCGUGCGGGAUGACGGCCUUCGGGUUGUAAACCGCUUUCGCCUGUGACGAAGCGUGAGUGACGGUAAUGGGUAAAGAAGCACCGGCUAACUACGUG
rnacentral:rRNA from 1 species